GCCGCGGUAAUUCCAGCUUCAGCAGCAUCUAUUAAAGUUGCUGCGGUUAAAAGGCUCGCAGUUGAAUGUCUGUAUCGAGCGCAGGUCAGGUGGACGUUGGGGCGUGGAAGUACGGGCAGUUGGAUGUCCGGGGGGCCUCGUGCUCAACGGCUCCUUCGGCUUUUCCACACACCCCCGUCCCUUACAAGCCUCCUCGCUCGGGUACAUAACGGGAAUCGGUCAAACGGAGUGUGGUCUUGGGAGUUGGGGCGUGCGUGGCUUCGCGGUUGCGUGCGUUCUUUCUUUCGGGGCUGCGUCAAGCUCCAUCGGUUUCACGGUCACCUUGAGUAAAUCAGAGUGCUCAAAGCAGUCGUAGGGGCCUUGCGCCCUGUGAACAGUCUUGACGGACUGACUUGGUUUUGCAUGGCAUGUCGGAAGACGACGUCGUGUGCUGGCUCAGAGGAUAAAUCAGUGGUACAAGCCAGCCUCGACGUAAUGAUUAAAAGGGACGGUCGAGGGCAUUGGUAUUGCGAGGCGAGAGGUGAAAUUCUGUGACCCCCGCAAGACCUCCUGAAGCGAAAGCGUCUGCCAAGGACGUUUUCAUUAAUCAUGAACGAAAGUUAGAGGAUCGAAGGCGAUCAGAUACCGCCCUAGUUCUAACCCUAAACGAUGCCAACCAUCAAUCCGCGCGUAGCACCCUUCUUAACGGGCUCGGCGGGCAGCUCCCCACUCACGGGAAACCAGAGCCUCUGGGUUCCGGGGGGAGUCUGGUUGCAAAGCUGAAACUUAAAGGAAUUGACGGAAAGGCACCACCAGGCGUGGAGCCUGCGGCUUAAUUUGACCCAACACGGGCCAUCUCACCAGGCCAGCACUCUUGUACGAUUGACAGAUUGAGAGCUCUUUCUCGAUUCAGUGGAUGGUGGUGCAUGGCCGUUCUUAGUUGGUGGAGUGAUCUGUCUGGUUAAUUCCGAUAACGAACGAGACUCUCCCCUGCUAACUAGUCGGUUGGAUCUUGAUCAGUGGGUUGAGUGCCGAGUAACUCUCGCUGUGCGUGCUGUGCGUCUCGUUCCUCACGGUUCGUUGCGUGCUCAUGUGUGGCGUUGGAUGCCUUGGAUCACACUGCACCCCAAGUCCGCCGCUUUGCUAUAACUCUUCUUAGAGGGAUUCACGGCACUGAAGCCGUAAGAGACUGAGAGCAAUAACAGGUCUGUGAUGCCCUUAGAUGCUCUGGGCCGCACGCGCGCUACAAUGCCGGGCACAGCAGGUGUUUCUCCUGCUCCGACAGGAGCGGGUAACCCUCUGAAAGCCAGUGUUCUUGCAAGUGCUUCCUCCCUCGUGGAGUUGCACAGAGGCGUGCUUGGGCCUGGGACUUGCAAUUCUUUCCCACCAACGAGGAAUGCCUAGUAGCGGCGGGUCACUGAGCCCGCUGUGACUCAGUCCCUGCCCUUUGUACACACCGCCCGUCGCUACUACCGAUUGGGUGUACCAGUGAGAGCCUUGGACUGGCGUCCGUUGUUGCUCGCAAGAGUGACAAGCGGGUCCGACGGAAAGAGGUCCGAACUGGUGCACUUAGAGGAAGUAAAAGUCGUAACAAGGUUUCCGUAGGUGAACCUGCGGAAG
rnacentral:rRNA from 1 species